UACGUAGGGGGCAAGCGUUAUCCGGAUUUACUGGGUGUAAAGGGCGUGUAGGCGGGACUGCAAGUCAGAUGUGAAACCCAUGGGCUCAACCCAUGGCCUGCAUUUGAAACUGUAGUUCUUGAGUGAUGGAGAGGCAGGCGGAAUUCCGUGUGUAGCGGUGAAAUGCGUAGAUAUACGGAGGAACACCAGUGGCGAAGGCGGCCUGCUGGACAUUAACUGACGCUGAGGCGCGAAAGCGUGGGGAGCAAACAGG
rnacentral:rRNA from 1 species